UAUUAGGAUUUGGUUAGGAUUUGGUUUAGGGUUUAGGAUUUGGAUAGGAUUUGGUUUAGGGUUUAGGAUUUGGAUUAGGAUUUGGUUUAGGGUUUAGAAUUUAGGAUUUGGAUUAGGAUUUAGUUAGGAAUUAAGAUUUGAUUAGGAUUUAAUUUAAGAUUUAGGUUUUAGGGUUUGUCUAGGAUUUGAUUAAGGUUGGAUUAGGAUUAGGAUUUGGUUAGAAUUUAAGGUUCUAUUAGAUUUUUUUUAGGGUUUGACUAAGUUUUCUUUAAUAUUCUUUUAUAUUUCUUUAGGAUUUCCUUGUGUUUCUUUUAUAACUUCAAUAAAAUUUAAUUGAGCUUACUUAAUGUUUGAUUAUGAUUGUUAAUGUUUAAUUAUAAAUUCUCUAUAAUCUUAUUGGAUUGUUAGGACCUUUUGUUCUAAUUUUCUUUU
rnacentral:lncRNA from 1 species